GAUGAAGAACGUAGCGAAAUGUGAUAAGUAGUGUGAAUUGCAGAAUUCAGUGAAUCAUCGAAUCUUUGAACGCACAUUGCGCCCCAUGGUAUUCCGUGGGGCAUGCCUGUUCGAGCGUCAUUUACCCCCUCAAGCUCCGCUUGGUGUUGGGCGUCUGUCCCGCUUCGCGCGCGGACUCGCCCCAAAGGUAUUGGCAGCGGUCGUGCCAGCUUCUCGCGCAGCACAUUGCGCUUCUCGAGGCACCGGUGGGCCCGCGUCCAUCAAGCUCACCCCCCCAGUUUGACCUCGGAUCAGGCAGGGAUACCCGCUGAACUUAAGCAUAUCAAUAAGCGGAGGA
rnacentral:misc_RNA from 1 species